rnacentral:rRNA from 1 species
GCACGUGAAAGUCGCAAGACGAGUAAAGUGGCGGACGGGCGAGUAACGCGUAAUCAAGCUACCCUUGAGAUGGGGAUAACCCCGGGAAACCGGGGCUAAUACCCAAUGGUCCUGCUGGAUCGCAUGGUUUGGCAGGUAAAAGAGGGGGACCCUACGGGGCCUCUUGCUUGGGGAGGUGAUUGCGUCCCAUCAGCUAGUUGGCGGGGUAAUGGCCCACCAAGGCGACGACGGGUAGCCGGCCUGAGAGGGUGGUCGGCCGCACUGGGACUGAGACACUGCCCAGACUCCUACGGGAGGCUGCAGUCGAGGAUUUUCCGCAAUGGGCGCAAGCCUGACGGAGCGACGCCGCGUGGAGGACGAAGGCCUUCGGGUUGUAAACUCCUGUUACGGGUUAUGAAUGGUGCAGGGUGAACAUCUCUGCAUUUGACGUAAGCUCGAGAGAAAGCACUGGCUAACUCUGUGCCAGCAGCCGCGGUAAUACAGAGAGUGCGAACGUUGUUCGGAAUUACUGGGCAUAAAGCGCACGUAGGCUGUGCCGCAAGUGCGGGGUGAAAUCCCACGGCUUACCCGUGGAACUGCCCCGCAGACUGCGGUGCUAGAGGAUGGUAGGGGAGAGCGGAACUCCUGGUGGAGCGGUGAAAUGCGUAGAGAUCAGGAGGAACACCGGUGGCGAAGGCGGCUCUCUGGUCCAUUUCUGACGCUGAGGUGCGAAAGCUAGGGGAGCAAACGGG